UACAGAGGUCCCGAGCGUUGUUCGGAUUCACUGGGCGUAAAGGGUGCGUAGGUGGUUUAGGUAAGUCCGAUGUGAAAUCUCCAGGCUCAACCUGGAAAUGGCAUUGGAUACUAUUUAGCUUGAGGAGUGGAGGGGGGGACUGGAAUUCUCGGUGUAGCAGUGAAAUGCGUAGAUAUCGAGAGGAACACCAGUGGCGAAGGCGAGUCCCUGGACACUUCCUGACACUGAGGCACGAAAGCUAGGGGAGCAAACAGG
rnacentral:rRNA from 1 species